rnacentral:rRNA from 1 species
AGAUUGAACGCUGGCGGCAGGCCUAACACAUGCAAGUCGAACGGUAGCACAGAGAGCUUGCUCUCGGGUGACGAGUGGCGGACGGGUGAGUAAUGUCUGGGAAACUGCCCGAUGGAGGGGGAUAACUACUGGAAACGGUAGCUAAUACCGCAUAACGUCGCAAGACCAAAGAGGGGGACCUUMGGGCCUCUUGCCAUCGGAUGUGCCCAGAUGGGAUUAGCUUGUAGGUGAGGUAACGGCUCACCUAGGCGACGAUCCCUAGCKGGUCUGAGAGGAUGACCAGCCACACUGGAACUGAGACACGGUCCAGACUCCUACGGGAGGCAGCAGUGGGGAAUAUUGCACAAUGGGCGCAAGCCUGAUGCAGCCAUGCCGCGUGUAUGAAGAAGGCCUUCGGGUUGUAAAGUACUUUCAGCGGGGAGGAAGGGAGUGAGGUUAAUAAC